GAUGAACGCUAGCUACAGGCUUAACACAUGCAAGUCGAGGGGCAGCAUGGUCUUAGCUUGCUAAGGCCGAUGGCGACCGGCGCACGGGUGAGUAACACGUAUCCAACCUGCCGUCUACUCUUGGACAGCCUUCUGAAAGGAAGAUUAAUACAAGAUGGCAUCAUGAGUCCACAUGUUCACAUGAUUAAAGGUAUUCCGGUAGACGAUGGGGAUGCGUUCCAUUAGAUAGUAGGCGGGGUAACGGCCCACCUAGUCUUCGAUGGAUAGGGGUUCUGAGAGGAAGGUCCCCCACAUUGGAACUGAGACACGGUCCAAACUCCUACGGGAGGCAGCAGUGAGGAAUAUUGGUCAAUGGGCGAGAGCCUGAACCAGCCAAGUAGCGUGAAGGAUGACUGCCCUAUGGGUUGUAAACUUCUUUUAUAAAGGAAUAAAGUCGGGUAUGCAUACCCGUUUGCAUGUACUUUAUGAAUAAGGAUCGGCUAACUCCGUGCCAGCAGCCGCGGUAAUACGGAGGAUCCGAGCGUUAUCCGGAUUUAUUGGGUUUAAAGGGAGCGUAGAUGGAUGUUUAAGUCAGUUGUGAAAGUUUGCGGCUCAACCGUAAAAUUGCAGUUGAUACUGGAUAUCUUGAGUGCAGUUGAGGCAGGCGGAAUUCGUGGUGUAGCGGUGAAAUGCUUAGAUAUCACGAAGAACUCCGAUUGCGAAGGCAGCCUGCUAAGCUGCAACUGACAUUGAGGCUCGAAAGUGUGGGUAUCAAACAGGAUUAGAUACCCUGGUAGUCCACACGGUAAACCAUUAAUGGGCGCUGUUUGCGAUAUACAGCAAGCGGCCAAGCGAAAGCGUUAAGUAUUCCACCUGGGGAGUACGCCGGCAACGGUGAAACUCAAAGGAAUUGACGGGGGCCCGCACAAGCGGAGGAACAUGUGGUUUAAUUCGAUGAUACGCGAGGAACCUUACCCGGGCUUAAAUUGCAGAUGAAUUACGGUGAAAGCCGUAAGCCGCAAGGCAUCUGUGAAGGUGCUGCAUGGUUGUCGUCAGCUCGUGCCGUGAGGUGUCGGCUUAAGUGCCAUAACGAGCGCAACCCUUGUUGUCAGUUACUAACAGGUUCCGCUGAGGACUCUGACAAGACUGCCAUCGUAAGAUGUGAGGAAGGUGGGGAUGACGUCAAAUCAGCACGGCCCUUACGUCCGGGGCUACACACGUGUUACAAUGGGGGGUACAGAGGGCCGCUACCACGCGAGUGGAUGCCAAUCCCAAAAACCUCUCUCAGUUCGGACUGGAGUCUGCAACCCGACUCCACGAAGCUGGAUUCGCUAGUAAUCGCGCAUCAGCCACGGCGCGGUGAAUAAAAGGCCGGGCCUUGUACU
rnacentral:rRNA from 1 species